AUGGUCAAGCUGCUGAGUGUUUAUGCUACAGUCAUUCUGUCAACAUCAGAAGUGGGGAGGGUUUUCUCAAGAGUGAAGCUCAUUGUUACUGACCACAGAAACAGACUGAGUGUGAAGAACUGCAACAGGCUCUUGAUGAUAAGCAUGAACACAUCUUCCACAGCUGACAUUGACAUGGACAAAGUUGUUGCAAAAUUCCUCAUUCAGUUCUCG